rnacentral:lncRNA from 1 species
GAGAUUCUUUCUCAAAACAAUCUAAAACAGCUCACCUCAAUGAGGACCUCUCUCAGUGAUAGAAUGGAUAAAUCUCAAUGAACGGCCCGAAAUCAUCUUUGGUUAAUAAAAACAAAACGCCUCGUCGUUAUACAUGGCUCGGCAUCAUAUAAUGAAACCGCCUUGUCGUUAUACAGGGCUCGGCAUCAUCUAAUGAAAACAACUCGCCGUUAUCAUUAAACACGGCUCGGCAUUGCCAAUGAAAAUUGCCUCGUCGUUAUCGCUAAACACGGCUCGGCGUCAUCUAAACGAAGAUGCCUCGUUGCCUAUGCAUUAUCUUCGAUCGUUACCUAGGCAUCAUUUUACUGUACUCAUCGCCUAGGCAUCACCUAGGCAUUAUCUCGGCUCGUUGCCUAGGCAUUAUUUUGGCUCGUCGCCUAGACAUUAUCUCGGCUUGUCGCCUAGGCAUCAUCUUGCCUUUUUCGCCUAGGCAUCAUCUUGCCUCGUCGAGAUCAUCUCGCCGCCUAGCCAUCAUCGGCUCGUUGCCUAGGCAUCACCUCGCCUUGUCUCUUAGACAUUAGGUCGGCUCGUUGCCUAGGCAUUAUCUCUACUCGUCGUCCAUGCAUUAUCUCGGCUCGUCGCCUAGGCAUCAUCUUGCCUCGUCGGCUAGGUGUCAUCUUGUAUCAUCGCCUAUCCACCAUCGGCUCAUCGCCUAGACAUCAUUUUACCUCGUCGCCUAGGCAUCCUCUUGCCUUGUCGCCUAGCCGUUAACUCGGCUCGGCAGCUAGGCAUCCUCUUGCAUUGUCGCCUAGCCAUCAUUUCGGCUCGUCGGCUAGGCGUCAUCUUGGCUCGUCGCCUAGGCAUCCUCGUGCCUUGUCGCCUAGCCAUUAACUCGGCUCGGCGGCUAGGCAUCCUCUUUCGUUAUCACCUAGCCGUCAUCGGCUUGUCGCCUAAGUGUCAUCUUGUAUCAUCGC